CCUACGGGAGGCAGCAGUGAGGAAUCUUGCGCAAUGGGCGAAAGCCUGACGCAGCCACGCCGCGUGCCGGAUGAAGGCCCUAUGGGUUGUAAACGGCUUUUACUAGGGAAGAACGAGAGGGUUUCGAUCUUCUGUGACGGUACCUAGUGAAUAAGCACCGGCUAACUCCGUGCCAGCAGCCGCGGUAAUACGGAGGGUGCAAGCGUUGUCCGGAAUCAUUGGGUGUAAAGGGUACGUAGGCGGGAGCCUAAGUCUGGGGUGAAAUCUUGCCGCUUAACGGUAAAAUGGCCCUGGAUACUGGGUUUCUUGAGUGCAGAAGAGGCAGGUGGAAUUCGUGGUGUAGCGGUGAAAUGCUUAGAUAUCACGAAGAACAUCAGUGGCGAAGGCGGCCUGCUGGUCUGCAACUGACGCUGAGGUACGAAAGCGUGGGGAGCGAACAGGAUUAGAUACCCUGGUAGUCCACGCCGUAAACGAUGCAUACUAGGUGUUGGCCUUAGGGCCAGUGCUGCAGUUAACGCAUUAAGUAUGCCACCUGGGGAGUACGUCGGCAACGAUGAAACUCAAAGGAAUUGACG
rnacentral:rRNA from 1 species